rnacentral:rRNA from 1 species
CUACCUAUAAGACUGGGAUAACUUCGGGAAACCGUAGCUAAUACCGGAUAAUAUUUUGAACCGCAUGGUUCAAAAGUGAAAGACGGUCUUGCUGUCACUUAUAGAUGGAUCCGCGCUGCAUUAGCUAGUUGGUAAGGUAACGGCUUACCAAGGCAACGAUGCAUAGCCGACCCGAGAGGGUGAUCGGCCACACUGGAACUGAGACACGGUCCAG